ensembl:snRNA U2 U2 spliceosomal RNA
AUUGCUUCUUGGCCUUUUGGCUAAGAUCAAGUGUAGAAUAUGUAUUAUAAGGAACUACAUUUUCUCAGAAGCUUUUCUAAAGAUUUAAUUGUGGUUGGUGUUUGAUCUAGUUGGUAAGACACUGGUUAGAAUACCCACAGCCCCUAUCUGAAUACCAGCAUCAA